GCCAGCAGCCGCGGUAAUACGUAGGUGGCAAGCGUUGUCCGGAAUUAUUGGGCGUAAAGGGCUCGCAGGCGGUUUCUUAAGUCUGAUGUGAAAGCCCCCGGCUCAACCGGGGAGGGUCAUUGGAAACUGGGAAACUUGAGUGCAGAAGAGGAGAGUGGAAUUCCACGUGUAGCGGUGAAAUGCGUAGAGAUGUGGAGGAACACCAGUGGCGAAGGCGACUCUCUGGUCUGUAACUGACGCUGAGGAGCGAAAGCGUGGGGAGCGAACAGGAUUAGAUACCCUGGUAGUCCACGCCGUAAACGAUGAGUGCUAAGUGUUAGGGGGUUUCCGCCCCUUAGUGCUGCAGCUAACGCAUUAAGCACUCCGCCUGGGGAGUACGGUCGCAAGACUGAAACUCAAAGGAAUUGACGGGGGCCCGCACAAGCGGUGGAGCAUGUGGUUUAAUUCGAAGCAACGCGAAGAACCUUACCAGGUCUUGACAUCCUCUGACAACCCUAGAGAUAGGGCUUUCCCUUCGGGGACAGAGUGACAGGUGGUGCAUGGUUGUCGUCAGCUCGUGUCGUGAGAUGUUGGGU
rnacentral:rRNA from 1 species